rnacentral:rRNA from 1 species
AUGAACGCUUGCGGCGUGCCUAAUACAUGCAAGUCGAGCGAACAGACGAGGAGCUUGCUCCUUUGACGUUAGCGGCGGACGGGUGAGUAACACGUAGGUAACCUACCUAUAAGACUGGGAUAACUUCGGGAAACCGGAGCUAAUACCGGAUAAUAUUUCGAACCGCAUGGUUCGAUAGUGAAAGAUGGCUUUGCUAUCACUUAUAGAUGGACCUGCGCCGUAUUAGCUAGUUGGUAAGGUAACGGCUUACCAAGGCAACGAUACGUAGCCGACCUGAGAGGGUGAUCGGCCACACUGGAACUGAGACACGGUCCAGACUCCUACGGGAGGCAGCAGUAGGGAAUCUUCCGCAAUGGGCGAAAGCCUGACGGAGCAACGCCGCGUGAGUGAUGAAGGUCUUCGGAUCGUAAAACUCUGUUAUUAGGGAAGAACAAACGUGUAAGUAACUGUGCACGUCUUGACGGUACCUAAUCAGAAAGCCACGGCUAACUACGUG